rnacentral:rRNA from 1 species
GACGAACGCUGGCGGCGUGCCUAAUACAUGCAAGUUGAGCGAUGAAGAUUGGUGCUUGCACCAAUUUGAAGAGCAGCGAACGGGUGAGUAACGCGUGGGGAAUCUGCCUUUGAGCGGGGGACAACAUUUGGAAACGAAUGCUAAUACCGCAUAACAACUUUAAACAUAAGUUUUAAGUUUGAAAGAUGCAAUUGCAUCACUCAAAGAUGAUCCCGCGUUGUAUUAGCUAGUUGGUGAGGUAAAGGCUCACCAAGGCGAUGAUACAUAGCAGACCUGAGAGGGUGAUCGGCCACAUUGGGACUGAGACACGGCCCAAACUCCUACGGGAGGCAGCAGUAGGGAAUCUUCGGCAAUGGACGAAAGUCUGACCGAGCAACGCCGCGUGAGUGAAGAAGGUUUUCGGAUCGUAAAACUCUGUUGGUAGAGAAGAACGUUGGUGAGAGUGGAAAGCUCAUCAAGUGACGGUAACUACCCAGAAAGGGACGGCUAACUACGUG